rnacentral:rRNA from 1 species
AACGCGAAGAACCUUACCUACCCUUGACAUGCUCGGAAUUUUCCAGAGAUGGAGAAGUGCCUUCGGGAGCCGAGACACAGGUGCUGCAUGGCUGUCGUCAGCUCGUGUCGUGAGAUGUUGGGUUAAGUCCCGUAACGAGCGCAACCCUUGUCCUUAGUUGCCAACAGGUCGUGCUGGGAACUCUAAGGAGACUGCCGGUGAUAAGCCGGAGGAAGGUGGGGAUGACGUCAAGUCCUCAUCGGCCCUUACGGGUAGGGCUACACACGUGUUACAAUGGGCAGUACAGAGGGAAGCGAAGCCGCGAGGUGGAGCGAAUCUUUUAAAAGCUGUUCGUAGUCCGGAUUGGAGUCUGCAACUCGACUCCAUGAAGUUGGAAUCGCUAGUAAUCGCAGAUCAGCAUUGCUGCGGUGAAUACGUUCCCGGGCCUUGUACACACCGAGACGUA